GUAAGUAACUGUGCACAUCUUGACGGUACCUAAUCAGAAAGCCACGGCUAACUACGUGCCAGCAGCCGCGGUAAUACGUAGGUGGCAAGCGUUAUCCGGAAUUAUUGGGCGUAAAGCGCGCGUAGGCGGUUUUUUAAGUCUGAUGUGAAAGCCCACGGCUCAACCGUGGAGGGUCAUUGGAAACUGGAAAACUUGAGUGCAGAAGAGGAAAGUGGAAUUCCAUGUGUAGCGGUGAAAUGCGCAGAGAUAUGGAGGAACACCAGUGGCGAAGGCGACUUUCUGGUCUGUAACUGACGCUGAUGUGCGAAAGCGUGGGGAUCAAACAGGAUUAGAUACCCUGGUAGUCCACGCCGUAAACGAUGAGUGCUAAGUGUUAGGGGGUUUCCGCCCCUUAGUGCUGCAGCUAACGCAUUAAGCACUCCGCCUGGGGAGUACGACCGCAAGGUUGAAACUCAAAGGAAUUGACGGGGACCCGCACAAGCGGUGGAGCAUGUGGUUUAAUUCGAAGCAACGCGAAGAACCUUACCAAAUCUUGACAUCCUUUGACAACUCUAGAGAUAGAGCCUUCCCCUUCGGGGGACAAAGUGACAGGUGGUGCAUGGUUGUCGUCAGCUCGUGUCGUGAGAUGUUGGGUUAAGUCCCGCAACGAGCGCAACCCUUAAGCUUAGUUGCCAUCAUUAAGUUGGGCACUCUAAGUUGACUGCCGGUGACAAACCGGAGGAAGGUGGGGAUGACGUCAAAUCAUCAUGCCCCUUAUGAUUUGGGCUACACACGUGCUACAAUGGACAAUACAAAGGGCAGCGAAACCGCGAGGUCAAGCAAAUCCCAUAAAGUUGUUCUCAGUUCGGAUUGUAGUCUGCAACUCGACUACAUGAAGCUGGAAUCGCUAGUAAUCGUAGAUCAGCAUGCUACGGUGAAUACGUUCCCGGGUCUUGUACACACCGCCCGUCACACCACGAGAGUUUGUAACACCCGAAGCCGGUGGAGUAACCUUUUAGGAGCUAGCCGUCGAAGGUGGGACAAAUGAUUGGGGUGAAGUCGUAACAAGGUAGCCGUAUCGGAAGGUGCGGCUGGAUCACCUCCUUUCUAAGGAUAUAUUCGGAACAUCUUCUNNNNNNNNNNNNNNNNNNNNNNNNNNNNNNNNNNNNNNNNNNNNNNNNNNNNNNNNNNNNNNNNNNNNNNNNNNNNNNNNNNNNNNNNNNNNNNNACAACAAGCUUGCUUGUUGGGGUUGUAGGACACUCUAUACGGAGUUACAAAGGACGACAUUAGACGAAUCAUCUGGAAAGAUGAAUCAAAGAAGGUAAUAAUCCUGUAGUCGAAAAUGUUGUCUCUCUUGAGUGGAUCCUGAGUACGACGGAGCACGUGAAAUUCCGUCGGAAUCUGGGAGGACCAUCUCCUAAGGCUAAAUACUCUCUAGUGACCGAUAGUGAACCAGUACCGUGAGGGAAAGGUGAAAAGCACCCCGGAAGGGGAGUGAAAUAGAACCUGAAACCGUGUGCUUACAAGUAGUCAGAGCCCGUUAAUGGGUGAUGGCGUGCCUUUUGUAGAAUGAACCGGCGAGUUACGAUUUGAUGCAAGGUUAAGCAGUAAAUGUGGAGCCGUAGCGAAAGCGAGUCUGAAUAGGGCGUUUAGUAUUUGGUCGUAGACCCGAAACCAGGUGAUCUACCCUUGGUCAGGUUGAAGUUCAGGUAACACUGAAUGGAGGACCGAACCGACUUACGUUGAAAAGUGAGCGGAUGAACUGAGGGUAGCGGAGAAAUUCCAAUCGAACCUGGAGAUAGCUGGUUCUCUCCGAAAUAGCUUUAGGGCUAGCCUCAAGUGAUGAUUAUUGGAGGUAGAGCACUGUUUGGACGAGGGGCCCCUCUCGGGUUACCGAAUUCAGACAAACUCCGAAUGCCAAUUAAUUUAACUUGGGAGUCAGAACAUGGGUGAUAAGGUCCGUGUUCGAAAGGGAAACAGCCCAGACCACCAGCUAAGGUCCCAAAAUAUAUGUUAAGUGGAAAAGGAUGUGGCGUUGCCCAGACAACUAGGAUGUUGGCUUAGAAGCAGCCAUCAUUUAAAGAGUGCGUAAUAGCUCACUAGUCGAGUGACACUGCGCCGAAAAUGUACCGGGGCUAAACAUAUUACCGAAGCUGUGGAUUGUCCUUUGGACAAUGGUAGGAGAGCGUUCUAAGGGCGUUGAAGCAUGAUCGUAAGGACAUGUGGAGCGCUUAGAAGUGAGAAUGCCGGUGUGAGUAGCGAAAGACGGGUGAGAAUCCCGUCCACCGAUUGACUAAGGUUUCCAGAGGAAGGCUCGUCCGCUCUGGGUUAGUCGGGUCCUAAGCUGAGGCCGACAGGCGUAGGCGAUGGAUAACAGGUUGAUAUUCCUGUACCACCUAUAAUCGUUUUAAUCGAUGGGGGGACGCAGUAGGAUAGGCGAAGCGUGCGAUUGGAUUGCACGUCUAAGCAGUAAGGCUGAGUAUUAGGCAAAUCCGGUACUCGUUAAGGCUGAGCUGUGAUGGGGAGAAGACAUUGA
rnacentral:rRNA from 1 species